ACUAAUACCGCAUAACUUCGUAAGACCAAGGAGGGGGACCUUCGGGCCUCUUGCCAUCAGAUGUGCCCAGAUGGGAUUAGCUAGUAGGUGGGGUAAUGGCUCACCUAGGCGACGAUCCCUAGCUGGUCUGAGAGGAUGACCAGCCACACUGGAACUGAGACACGGUCCAGACUCCUACGGGAGGCAGCAGUGGGGAAUAUUGCACAAUGGGCGCAAGCCUGAUGCAGCCAUGCCGCGUGUGUGAAGAAGGCCUUCGGGUUGUAAAGCACUUUCAGCGAGGAGGAAGGUGGUGAGCUUAAUACGCUCAUCAGUUGACGUUACUCGCAUAAGAAGCACCGGCUAACUCCGUGCCAGCAUCCGCGGUAAUACGGAGGGUGCAAGCGUUAAUCGGAAUUACUGGGCGUAAAGCGCACGCAGGCGGUUUGUUAAGUCAGAUGUGAAAUCCCCGGGCUCAACCUGGGAACUGCAUUUGAAACUGGCAAGCUAGAGUCUCGUAGAGGGGGGUAGAAUUCCAGGUGUAGCGGUGAAAUGCGUAAAGAUCUGGAGGAAUACCGGUGGCGAAGGCGGCUUAGAUACCGUGGUAGUACACGCUGUAAAAGAUGUCGAAUUGGAGGUUGUGCCCUUGCGGCGUAGCUUCCCGAGCAAACGCGUUAACUCGACCGCUUGGGGAGUACGGCCGCAAGGUUAAAACUCAAAUGAAUUGACGGGGGCCCGCACAAGCGGUGGAGCAUGUGGUUUAAUUCGAUGCAACGCGAAGAACCUUACCUACUCUUGACAUCCAGAGAACUUAGCAGAGAUGUUUUGGUGCCUUCGGGAACUCUGAGACAGGUGCUGCAUGGCUGUCGUCAGCUCGUGUUGUGAAAUGUUGGGUUAAGUCCCGCAACGAGCGCAACCCUUAUCCUUUGUUGCCAGCGGUUCGGCCGGGAACUCAAAGGAGACUGCCAGUGAUAAACUGGAGGAAGGUGGGGAUGACGUCAAGUCAUCAUGGCCCUUACGAGUAGGGCUACACACGUGCUACAAUGGCGUAUACAAAGAGAAGCGACCUCGCGAGAGCAAGCGGACCUCAUAAAGUACGUCGUAGUCCGGAUUGGAGUCUGCAACUCGACUCCAUGAAGUCGGAAUCGUUAGUAAUCGUAGA
rnacentral:rRNA from 1 species